CCUUCCUAUGCAUUAGCAGAUACUUUAUAAAAAGGACACUGAUGCUAUUUGAGUCAGGAAGAAUUUCUCAUAACAGGUGCUUUAGAAACUCACAAGACAAUGGCCCCUUCAGAGGGGCCUAAUUCCUACAGAAUUUCCACAUGAGGACACAUACCCUAGAGUCAAGCACAGCCUCUGAUCGCCUUACACAAACAUGAAGCUGUGAUUCAGGAAGUUAUUCUGUGCCUCUAUUAGCACACGCCACCUUGCAGAGUACUUUAACCCACUGCUAGUAAUCAAGGUGUGUUGCUCUUCCGGUCUAGAUGACUUAAGUAUGAAGGUACUGAUCAUUUAUCAGGGAAAGAGAGAAGGUACUGAAACAGAUUUUGAAAAUAAUUCAUAGAAGAACAUUAUGGGAGAGAGAGACUAGGAUCUAUGCUAAACUGAACAUCCAUCCCCAUUUGCCCAUGAAUGAGGUCAUUGCCAGGAUGUGGCACUUCCAGUGCUAAACAUGGAACGUUCUGCUCAACCGGGAAGAGACUUGGUCCUGACCAAAGUUCUGGAGACCAUGCUCAGGUUCAUUCAAUGCAUGAAGAAUUCUUGGCCAUCAUUUUUGUGUAUGUGUUGUUUUGCAAUUUUUAUCAUUGGCAUUUCACCCAGAAAUUGGGUUUACCACCCAUGGAAAUCAGAUGUUUUGGGGACCUCUGUGAAAUGGGGACAUGCAUACUAGAUAACUCUUCCUUGUGGAACAAAGGAGCCAUUUUGGAAAGAGCCUACCCUGGGGGCAGACAGUCCACAUGCAGGGCUGCUGCCAGGACAGGGGCUCAUUGAUUUCAGGGGAGGGAAGAUUCUACCUAUCACGGAGUCUCAAAUCAUAUUUUCUCCUGUUCAGAUUCCUUGGAUGUGGAGUUAAAGAUGAAGGGACAUUGGGGAAAAAAAACCCUUCCCUUUAUCUUCAUUCCCUCAGCUAUGUCUUAGAUCUUUUCUCAGGUGGUAUUACUUCAGUCACUGACAUGCUGAAGAAUGGCUCACCAAGGAGGCUCAUGUUGGCUAGGGCAAGGUAGAAACAACUGAAAAAUGUCUUAUAUUUCAAUCCUUAAAUGUGAGUUAUCCAUACAAUGGGAUAUAUUUUGGUAGUAAAAGUAACUAAAUACUAGUACAUGCUAGAACAUGGAUGCAACUUGAAAACAUCAUUCCGAGUGAAAAAAGUCAUUCCCAAAAGAUGUCCUAUUGUGCAAUUCCAUUUAUAUGAAAUGUCCAAACUGGGGAUGCUAUGGGGACAGAGUGUAGAUCAUUGAUUACCAGAGGCUGAGCAAAUUGGUGGGAAAUGGAAGAUGAAUGCCAAUAGUUACAGUGUUUCUUUUUAGGACAAUAGAAAUGUGAUAGCAGUGAUGUUUUCUCAAUUUGGAGAAUAUACUAAGAGCCACUGUUCUAAACUUGUGAGUUGUAUGCUAUCUAAAUAUAACUGAAAAAAACCCUUACCACACCCCCCCCCAAUAAACCAAAAAAGAGAAAGUUGGAAACUGGAUUUAAUAAGACAACAUCAAUUCUGGAAAACUGAAUUCAAGCCAGGCUGCACUGGUGUGUGAGAUGGAGCCAUUUAAAGUGAGGAUUCCCUGGGAAUUGCAGGAAGUGCACUGCACAGGCACUUCCUGGUCCUUAGUUCCCCCCAUUGCAGAGUUGGAAAGGAUCACUUUCUAGGACCAUAUCAAAAAAGCAAAUAGGCUCUGUCAUUUCCCAGACAAUUUGGCAGAAUGUGUUUCAUUUUACUUUAUCUUGAGAAGGAAGAGGAACAGAGACCUGAAUUCUCAAGACCAUGCUGCAUGAAGUCCCCUCUGCACAGGGUUGGAAGCAUCUUCAGAGCAAGGAGGGAGCCUUCACCCAUGGCUUGGAGGAAGGCAGGGGCAGAGGACCUGCUCUUUCCCACAUUACCCCUUCCCGGAAAACACAAUUCUGGCUGCACAGAAGGCUGAAGACUUAUUCAUCCCUGCUCUGAAUGAAGAGGAUGACCAAAGGCUUCCAGUCUAACUGAGCUCUAGUAGCCCCUUUUCCAGAAACCAAAACCUGGCUGGGAACAUGGCAUUCCCUUUCCACCUCUCCUUAGGGUGGGUGCUCACACCUCUCUCUGUCCCCAGCCUCUGCAGUGGCCUGAGAUUGGGUCUGGGACUAAGUUUUAGGGUUGUUUACUGUAUUGUGCAGAGAAGGGACAAGAGACUUAAGAGUUUUCCCCCUUAGGAGGAAAGGGGAGAAAGAAGCUGAUGCCUGGAGAAACCUCAGCAGGACUUUGGCAAUGGGGUUUGGUGGGGGGAUGUCAUUGCAGUCCCCAAAUCUAGGCUCUUGCUGCCCCCUGGUGGCUUAGCUGAGACAGCCCAAAACCAAGAAUAAAGAGGAGACUAGGGAAUCGGCUUCACCUCCCUUCCACCCUUUCUCCCUCUCCUUCCAAAAUGGAAUUUGCUCCCCACUCACCACCCCUGAUGUCUGUGUAAUGCACUCUAUGCUCCAUGGAUAAGUUCCUGAAGCUCCAUCUAGAGUAGAAUCUGUCACCUGACACACUCCCAGCUCAGGACCACUAGCUUCCCCAGGGACCUUUGUCAAUGGAUCACUACCUGGGAGGCAGGUCUCUAUUCAGAGCAAGAGGAAUGUGGAAUAAAAAUUGAAGCCAAUCCUGGCAGUAGACGUGCAAGAGAGAAAUGGGACAAAGAGAAAACAUUUUGGAGUUUUUAAAUGUCUGACAUAAAACUCAAGAGGGGAGAAACUGAGGAGGUUCUAGGAACCCUGGAAAAGAUUUUGUGUUCUUAGCAGGUGAGGAGGAGUUGGACAGGGCUCAAAGGAGCCUCGGCCUGAGGGUCUAGCUCUAAGCACCUCCUGUCAGAGGGGAGUCCUGUCUGGGAAAUCUCGGACUCUAGUUCCACCCAUGAAGAGAUGUGUGAGUUUUUUUUAACACAAAGUUGUAUGUAGGGAAUUGAGAGCUAAACUGUGGCUCUAGAGAUAUCAGGUGUAAUCAUUUACAAGUUCUGUAAUUGUUAUCACAUUUGGAGAAAGGUCCUAUACAAAUAUGGUUAAAUUAGGAUCUUGAGAUGGGAAGAGUGUCCUGGAUUGAGAUAAGAAAAGGGCCUGGAUAUAUAUCACAAGUGUUCCUAUGAGAAAGACACAGGGAGAUUAUACACACACACACACACACACACACACACACAAACACACCGGAGAUGACCAUAUGAAGGAGAAGGCAGAAAUUGGAGUGAUGGAGCCACAAGCCAAGGAAUUAUGGCCACGACCAGCAAUAGGAAAAGGCAAGGAAUGGAUCUACUUAGAGCCUCUGGAAGAAGUUUGGCCCCCCACUAACACGUUGAUGUUGGCCCAGUGUUGGUGAUUUCUGACCUCUGGCCUCCUGAACUGUGAGGGAAUAAAUUUCUUUUGAUUAUUGCUGUCCAGUCUGUGAUUUGUCACAGCUGCCACAGGAAACUCAUACAUAAAGUCAGUACUCUACUCUGGAAUGACUGGACAUUGCAGAUCUGGCUUCCUAAGGAGUUUGUUACUAGAGUUAGAGCUCUCAGCCUCCCAGUCUCCCUGCUCCCCUUCCUUACUUGCUCUGAUCACAGGGUGGGCAGUACUUUUUUGGUGGUCCAUCUGUCUUGCCCUGAGGGGCUCUGGACUCUUGACCAUUUCCAACACCCACGAAGGUCAGGCAUCCUUGCUGGUACCUCUCCCUUUGCCACUCACUUGACUUCUACGUUUAAGCCUCACCAACAGGCUUCUAUCACUUCCAGGUCCUGCCAUCUCUAUUGCUACCACAGAACCCCCUUCUUCCCUGCCUCCCCUACCUGGCCCUAGCUUAGAGGAGAGCCACCCACUGAACUUUUUGAUGAUCCUGGUGCUUCUCUGCCAGCACAUUCCUCAUUGCUCAAGUAAAUGCUGUGUCUGCCAGGCCCUCUUGAGAAUCAUCUACGCUGGGGAGCUGUCCAGCCUUACCUGGUAGAGCCACUCCUGCCAAAUGCUUCUGAAGCCAUCAUUUUCUCAGUCUUUCUAAGGGUCAUCGUCCUGGCAGUGAGCUUGCAGAUUGUCUCAACAUCCUUGGCAGUUAAGAGUGCUUCUAAUAGGGCUUCUAAUAAUAAACUCCCUUCAUCCAAACUGAGUUUCUGCCCCUUGAUCCUGCACCCUCACAAUCCAGCCCUGUGCAUGCUCUUCCAGUUCCUACCGUAUAUAAUUGAUUGGUUGUGCAGCUCCUAUGCCCCUGUACACCCUCUUGUCCUGGUUUUGUGCUGACAUAAUCCUACUUAUUGGCCCACAGGCCUGCAUGACAGGAAGGGAUGGAUCCACUCCCCACCGGGGGGUGGUGAAUAUUAUUUCAGAGCACAAGCUUCUGUACCAUCUCCAAGCAAUGGCAGGGUAGGGAUGAGCCUUAAAUUAAGAGAGGGUCACUUCUGUCAGCUUGUAUAUCUCAGGGGAAUUAUUGAUUCAAGACUUUUGGGCGCUUGGAUCCACAUGGCUCCUUCUUGUGGCUCAGGACCUGUAGUUAUCCAUUCAGGGCCCUGACUGGCAUAUAGCAAAGCUGCCUGGUGGAGAGAUCACUGUUUUCUGGAGGUCUGCUACUCUGAGGACUGAGUUCUGGGCCUCAGCUUUCCCCGACCUCUGCACAGGUAGGAUGCCUUUUUCAACUAAUAAGGAGGACUUUUGGCUUUCAUUCAAGGCCUGUCCUUGCUGAUUUGUACUCCCAGCCUUUUACGUUUUGCAAAUUAUCAAUUGCACUUAGCAAGACUCUUAAAACAGUGAAAGCAGUAGGGUUGUCCCCACACUCUUCAAAAGUACCCGUUUCCUUGUAUUUCUCAAUUGCCUGACACGUGGCCCUGCUUUUGCAUAUUGUCCUACAGGUAAACCACCUCUGUUCCCCUCCAGUAAAAAUUUAAACAAUUACAUUACUCUAUGUUCUCCUAUCCCUAAACCCCUAGUUGGAGUCUUCAUUGCUCCAGAAUCUCAUUUCUGUGUCUCCUUUCUCAGACAUACCUGCCCCUAGAGUAGUUCAGGACUGUCCUAGUUUUAGGCCUGACUGCUCCCUGUCCUGAAAUACCCAUAAGUCUCAGGCAAACCAGGCUAAUUAGUCACCCUCGUGAUGCCACCUGUCGUGGGCCAGGUCUUCCUGGACACCGAUGCUGAGGUGGAAGUGAGCACAUAGAAGAGUGCUGUUGGUGUCACCCCUGCCCCAUGCAAAGGAAGAGAAGAAGCAGGAUCAGGGAAUGAGCCCCCGUGGUGUGACACUUCAGCCCCUCCCAGGGGCACUCGCCCAGAGACGGACAUGCAGAAGACAAAAGGAGGACAGUGCCUGAGAAGAAUAAAGGGGAGAGAGAGCAGGAGUCAGCAGGGAGAGCCUACAGACAGCAGUGGAGAUGUAUCCGCUGAGAAGAGAGAAGGGUGCAGAGGAGGAUUAGAGAGUAAGAGCCUCCAAACUCAGAGCAGCAGUGAGAAAAUCUCAACCUGCCCGUUGGGGAGCUCCAGAGCAGAGGUAAGCAUAGAGAAAUCCCAGUUUUGAGAAUCGGCGAGGCCUUUCACAUUGACAUGCUCAGUCACUGCCAGGCAACUGCCCAGGAAGCACAUCCCUUAACUAGAAAGCUAAGGCAGAUCCUGAAGAUACCUGUACUGACAUCCUGGAGGCAGGUUUCCUUAGGCAGGCAGAUCUGAAAGGCUCAUCUGUGGUUGCCCUACUUGGGCUAUGGUGUAGUCUUAGCCAACUCCAGGGGCGUUUCUGGAGCUGAGGCAGCCCUUUGCGUGUUCCCAUAUUACAGCAGGACAGCCUGGACUGUAUCCUGGUGCAUCCAACAAUCACUACAUGCAGGCUGCUCCGGAGAGGGACAUGACUUUGAGAGGGCAAAUCCCUCCUGGGAGAGAAGUUUCAGGAGAACACUGGAAGGUGAGGACUCUCUGUCCCUCCAGCAUCAGGGAUGACAUGACUUUCAUGGAAUCUGGGCCACUCAUCAUAGCAUCCGCUUCAUUGGCCCAGCAGCAAAUGGUCAUUUUCACUUCUCUCAGUCAACAAGCCCCUAUAAAGGCUAGGAAUGAGAAGUCUUAUGGAGCAGGGAACACACAGAACAUUUCCACUAUAACAUACUACACAUUUAAAAACCCCAAGCAUGUGAACCCCUUGUUCAACUUGGGAAGCGUCUCAGGAAUUGGGGGCGGGAGGAAGAGCCUGCAAAACUCAUGUGUCUGUUGCUAUAGGCGUGUUUAGAAAUCAGCAUAUCCUCAGAAAUUGAAUAACCAUAAAAUGCCUGUGCAUAAAUAACAGGGUCAGAGACCUGCCACCAGACUGGAAGUUGUGCUGGAUGGGGUGCCAAUCCCCGUGGUCUGGGGUCCACAAGGCAGAGGUCCCAUGGAGGUCAGUAGAAGGUACUGGAUGCUUCCUGCAAGAAGUAAGCAGAGGGUUUCUCUUCAGUGAUAUAUUACUGGUGGAUUUUCAGGCACUCCAAGAUACAGGAAUCACUAUCUUAUUUAAUUUGUUCAAGAAUAAUUUGCCCACACAAUCAAUCACGAUGCAAACAUAAGAAGUACAAUGGUUUCAAAUUAAGAAAUAAAAUGAUAAUUUGAAUUAGACAUGAUUUAUAACCUAUAAAAACAAAGUGAAUUUCCUGGAUGACAUUAAAAACUAAUUUGCUGUACACCUGAGUUUUAUCAGUGGGAGGGCAUAAACACAAAGGAAGCUUGUACAGUACAAAUUAAAAGGGCACAAUAGUUGGGGAAGAUCUCAAAAUGUAUGAUAUGCAGAUGUAUCACAUUCUUACCAUCACUAUAACAAUCUAUCAUAAGCUUAGGGGCUUAAAAUAAUAGAAAAUUAUUUUCUUACAGUUCUGGGAGCCCAGAUUCCAAAAUGAGGCUGACAGGACUGAAAUCAAAGAGUCGGAUGGGCUGGCUCCUUCUGGAGUUUCCAGGGGAGCAUCGGAUAUCUCACUCCUCCAGCUACUAGAGGCCACCAGAAUUCCACGUAGCUGGUAGCUAUGUGAUGCUAGUUGCUGCUCUGUGGUCACCACGCUUUCUCCUUUUCCGUCCUCAGGUCUGCCUCUGAGGUCUGCCUUCCUGUUAGAAGGACACUCAUGAUUACAUUCUGGAGCACCAGAUAAUCCAAGAUAACGUGCCUUGACUUUCUGUUAGUCAGGGUUCUCCAGAGGAGAACCAAUGGGAGAUACAUAGAUCCACAUACAUAUAUGAUUAUUUGAUUCUGGAGGGUGGGAAUUUCCACAAUCUGCAAGCUUGGAGACCCAGGGAAGCUGUUGGUGUGAUUCAGUCUGAGGCUGAAGAUCGGAGAACCAGAAAUGCCGAUGUUGCAAAUCCCAGUCCGAGAACAGAAAAAGAUGGCGUAAGACAUUCCAGCUCAAUAGUGAGACAGGAAAAAAUAAAAGUCAAGUUCCUCCUUCCUCGGCCUUUUGUUCUAUUCAGGCCCUCAAUGGAUUGGAAGGUGCCCACCCAUAUGGGGGAGAGCAUCCCACUUUGCUGAGUCCACCAGUUCAAAUGCUAAUCCCUGGAAUUCAUCUGGAGACACCCUCACAGACAUACCAGAAAAUCAUGUUUAAUUUGGUCUCCACAUGGCCAGUGAGGUCAGCAUGUAAAAUGAACUGACACAGUCCCUACAUCAAGAUCCUUAAUCACAUCUGCAAAGUGCCUUUUACCGUAGAGGUAACAUUCACAACUUCCAAAGGUUAGAACUGGAUAUCUUUGGGGGCUAAUACUCAGGCCACCACACCUACUGAGGUGCAUGUGCAGGAAACACUCUGAGGGGCUGUUCUCAAUCUGUUUUGCACAGUCGUGCCCUAAUAUAUUCCAGAAACGGGAGCUCUCUGCAACCUAUGUUUAGAAGUCACUAUUAAACGGCCUGUUGUUUUCUUUAGCUAAUUCCAAUACUCAGGGAAACCUGGGAGGCUAUUUGUACUGUUUGAGCCUCCACAAAGGGAGAACUCCAGGAAAAGAAAAGUUCCAGAAAUACCCACUGGUACAAUCCUGUCCUGUUCACAGUCGAGCUCGUAGUGCUCUUGUCAUUACCUAAGCAAUGAGCCACCCAGCCACCCCACUUGCUAUUGCCUCCAUUCAAAGAAGUAUUAACAGGACGUUUUCCUUACACAAUUAAAGAAAUUUUAGGAAAUCGCCUAUGUAUUCUCACACUUGUCCCCAGCAGGUUUAUUUUUUAAGGCUUCCAUCCCUCCCAUCGCAGGCAUGGAGGGGUUUCCAGUGUGAAGUCCCCAGGACAUCCUGGGCAGUGCCUCUCAACCUCCUGCUCCUUCCUCCUUUGAUGUCUGCAAAGAUGCCAGGCCCAGCCCCUGGCCAGAGUUACAGAAACAAAGGACAAAAUGACCAGGAUGUGAUGCCACCAGGGAGAGGAGAGGCCUCUCCCGCCAGUCCCUGUGAAGUGGCUGCUUCUCCGGGAGGAGAAAAUAAGAAGCAUGAAGCACCACUGGAGGCCCAGAUCUGUUUGCAAGUUCCCUAGUGGACUGAGCAAACAUUAAUGAUACACGGGGAUGUGCUUAUUUCUUUUCUUUCAUCUAGCUGGAUAACUGGAAUCAGGCCAGGAGAGUGGCACACCAGACAAACCCAGCAGCUUUUUUUUUUUUCCACAGAUGGGACAAAAGAACCAAUUGGGAAAUAUUUCACUGAAAUGAAGAGGCCAAUGCAUGUGCAAAGCUUGGUACAGGGACAGUGGGUUGGGGUCUGUGGGAAGGCAAUUCUGUACAGAGCCUGUCCCUCUGGACAGGUCUGUCCCUCUAAUUCUCCCCCAUUUCUGUCCCAGGAAGUACUGUUGGAGUGUCAGGUCAAAGGAGAGACCCUAAAGGGAGGGUCUCAUCUAUCCCCCCUUCUCUUUAUUCCUUCUGCAAAUCUUGAAGGCUUUCUUGUUACCAGAGCUUUGGCAAUGGACUUGCAGAAGAAUGACCCCAAUAAAGGGCCAUCUUGAACAGAAUGUGGUGAAAUCAAAGUUGAAUACAUGGGUGUCGCCUGUGAUAUGGACCAGUUGGUUUAGGGGGAAUUUAACUAUCAGUUUGUGCUUGGAGCAUCUUGAAUGCACCAGACAAGACUCUUUGGAUCCCCUGCUCAUGACUUCCAUGCAUCGGAUGGCAUCCAUAGUCUGGGCCCUGUUACUCAGCAGAGAUGGUCUUAUUUUCCCAGAGACCUGUGACCCAGAGAGGAUUCCUUGUGUCCUUCAUUAAGAGCCAGAAGAAGAAUUCAGAGAGAAACCCAGCCACAGAAGCAGAAAUGUCCCGGUACAGAAAGAAGCAGGGAUAAGAGUAGGGAAGAGUCCCAUGAGCUCAGAGCAGAGUUUGCUCUCACUUCCCUGGUGGGCUAAGUACCAGCGCUCAAAUAUGACACAUAGUCAUAAUCUGCCUUGUCCUCAGGGUGGAGCCUGGAGAUGGUAGGGAAGCUGGGCUGCUGGAUCUCGAGCCAGAGAAAUGGUACGAGAUUCCAGAAGGCUAAGAACCGACAGUAUCAAUUGGAGUUUAGAGGCAGUGCCUGGGCCUCAUUGGUGCCAGGACACCUCAUGAUAUCCCCAGGCUCACUGCUGCUUCCAGAGCUUCUGUCCCAGAGCCCUGGAUGCUGAGGAACAUUGAGUCAGGGCAGACUGAGCCCCAAGCUUGAAAGCAAAAACAAAGAUAGUUGGUAAGUUUAGGACCAAUGCUCUAAUUGAGCAAGAAUAAGUUCACCCAAAAUCAACAAUGGAGUAUUUCAUUUAGAGCCCACCUCCUGAGCCCACAGCUGGGCAGGACGGCCCUGGAUGGGGUUGUUUAUCCCACCAGGCUGCCCAGUUUUGGAAUGGAGACUGGAGAGUGGGGUUCAUGCCUAUCUGCUCACCGAGCCUUGACCAUUUUCACUGCCUUAUCUGGUUCCAGACCCUGAGUCUGGGGCCCUCCAAAAUGUUGUGCUUCCUGGGACCCUUGCCAGGAAGGUAUGGUUGAAAGAUCUGUUUCAAAAUAGAUCUGAGGCAGAGUCCCAAGGGAGACAGAGCUGCUGAGCAGAGGUUACUCAAGGGAGAAGAGCUGAAACCACAGGACUCCAGAACUGUAAGUCCAAGUUCAUUCAGGGGUUCCACAACAGUCCAAACAAACGUUCAUGAUAUAUAUAUCUAUAUAGUAAGUCAUUCCUUCAUCUCUUUCUGUCAUUGAAAUCUCAGGAGCAGUUUAGAGCACCAGUGAGCCUAACCCUCACUCUCCCUAGGAGACGGGGCAGAGCCCUGGAUGGUGGUGAGGGACCCUGGUGCCCAAACAAGGGCUCCUUGCUGUGUCCCUGAUUGUGGCUGCAUCUGCCAUACAGAGGUAAACACACUGCUUACCGUGGCUUCUCCUAGGCCACAGUCCUAGCAACACUACCACCCUCUCCCCUACCCUUGGAAACGGGUUGUGUCGGACUCAUCCCUGUCUUACCUGCUGUGAUGCACAUAAUAAAUAGAUGCCCAGGGGCUCAAUCUCCAAUAUGGUGGCCACUAGCCACACGUGGUUAUUAAGCACUUGAAAUAUAUCUAGUGACCCUGUGGAAUUGAAUUUUUAAUUUAACUCGAUCUAAAUUUAAAUUUAAAAUAUGACCAUUCGGUUAUCGUUUGGAGCAACUUGAGUAUGUGAAUGAAUCUACUUUUUCAACCAAAUUUUAUGAAAUCUAAAUACAGAUCAAGCAUUACUAAUGAAAAUUUAGCCAUGAACUGAGAUUGCAAUGAACUGAGAAAGAUUUAGAAGACUUAGUACCAAAAGAAUGAAGGUAAAAUAUCACAGUAAUGAUGUUUAAAAUAUUGACUAUAUGUUGAAAUAGUAAUAUUUUGAAUUCAUUAUAACCCAAUAUGUGUUCUACAUUUAAUAAUAAAAUAUAUUAUUGAAAUUAAAAAAGAAAUUCUUGCCAGAGUCCUCCCCUUUUAGAGACCAUAUUCCAGACACAUCAUUAUGCAUCCAAAAGAGUGUUUGCCCAUAUAAAUUAGGCAUAAUUCAUUAGUCCCAGAUUUUAAUGCUGUGUUCAUAAUUCUCUGCCUCAGCACGCCCAAAGUAUUAUAAAGUCCAUGAAAGCAUUGCUAGCUAGUUAUUGAAUGAAUAGAAGAAAAUAAAUAUUACAUAUAUUUAUGAUUGUAUAUGAAGAGGAUUAUAUUGUAUGUGCUUAGCUGUACUUGAUUAUUUUUUUUACACCUAACAGUGGAGACGUUGCAAAUUUAACACGGUGCCUGAAGACUUCUUAGAUAUUUUUUUUCAUAUUUGCUUCUCUCUCAUUCUUCCUAAUGUCAAGGGGUCAAGAUGAAGUUCCAGGUGUUACCUUUGACCCUCACUCACCCUUAUGACCUGAAUCCUCUCCAAAAGCAAGCCCUGCUGGUCUACCUCCAGGAUGUCCCCAAAACCAGAGAGGCAAGCCAGGAUCUCCCACGAGAACCACAUAGCAACCAUAGGGACCUUGAAAUGUACCUGAGGUUAUGUCAUAACCCUACUCACAAACUCCGUAUUAGCAUGGCUUGUAGGAGAUUCAAUAAUAAUAUAACUAUAUAAAUAGAAAAGAAUCACCACCAAGCAUCUCACCACUUGGGAAAAGCCAUGUUUUUAUUGUUUUGUAAACAACUGUUCCAAGUCAGCUGUUCUCAAACUUUUUGGUUCCAGUAUCUUUUUAUACUCCUAAAGAUUAUGGAGUUACCCCCAAAGAUUUUGUUCGUGUGGAUAACAUCUUUCAACGUUUACCAGACUAAUUAAAAUUGAAAAACAUUUUUAAAAUGUUUACUUUAAUUAUACAUAACAAUACUAAGCAAACCACCGGUAAAUAAAUAUAAUUUAUACGUAUUUUAUUAUAUGCAAGUGUACCUCAGAUAUAUUGUCAGUUCAGUUCCAGACCACUGUAAUAAAGUGACUAUCACUGAAUUAAUAUCACAAAUAUCAAUAAAGAGAGCCAAAUGAAUUUUUUGGUUUCCCAGUGCAUAUGAAAGUUAUGUUUACAUCAUACUGUAGUCUAUUAAGUGUGCAAUAGCAUUAUGUCCAAAAAAACAAUGUACAUACCUUAAUUAAAAAUACUUUAUUGCUCAAAACAGCUAACCAUCAUCUGAGAUUUCAGUGAGUUGCAAUCACUGUCGCCACAAAAAUAUAAUAAUAAUGAAAAAAGUUUUCAAUAUUGUGAGAAUUACCAAAAUGGGGCACAGAGACACAAAGUAAGCAAAUGCUAUUGGAAAAAUGACAUAGAUAGACUUGCUCAAUGCAGGGUCAUCACAAACCUUCAAUUUGUAAAAACAAACAAACAAAACCAAAAACCCAGUAUCUGCAAAGUACAAUGAAAUGAAAUAGGACUGCAUUCGAAGACUAGAAAAAAAAAAUGAGGCAUUGAAUUUUUUUUCCUUUCCGCAAAUCUUUUUAAUGUCUGGCUUACUGUAAAACUGUUGGAUGUGCACAUUGACUUCUGCACUAAGUCUGUUGCAACAUGUUGCGUUGGUUGAUGUGUGUAAAGAAAAACUUCCCUCACAGAGAUUGGAGGCACAGAGGAACCCUUUGUACUGAAGCGAUCCCAAGAAAGAAGUGCAUGAAGGUGUGAGGCCUGGUUUUAGGGCAGUGGUCAGAGAGCAGAGGGGAGGGGCUAGUGUGGGGCAGAAGAAUGGUCAGUCACCUAAAUGUUCCCCUGGUUGAUGCCCAUGAACUAAGAGAAGUAUGACAGCAGGGACACUGAAAGCUUAAGAGCAAAGUCUCCUACCUCUUGCUAUUCCCAUAGUGAAACUUGCUGAGCUUUCUCACAAGAGGCUUUAACAAUGGAUUUGAGCUUAAAAAUAGGAUUGGAAGUCUCCUUAUUUGAGGACAGUAGAGGAUGCAUCCUGUGAUGACUUUUGCAUAAUCUCUUCCCCUAGAAUUUAGGAAGACCUGUGAUUUGCUUCUACUCAAUAAGCACUGCAAAGGUGAUGAGAUGUCUCUCCUUGAUUAGGUUACAUUAAAUGGAAAACAUGGCUGGAUGUCACUCCUGUGAUUACAUUAUGUGCUGUAAGAUUCCCUCUUAAUGAGAUUUUGCUAUUUACACCAACGUGGAUGAACCUAGAGGGCAUUGUGCUAAGUGAAAUAAGUCAGACAGAAAAAGGAAAACAUCAUAUGAUUUCACUUAUACGAGGAAUCUAAAAAUACAAAACAAAUGGAAAAAACAACAACAAAAAACAA